CCUACGGGGGGCUGCAGUGGGGAAUAUUGCACAAUGGGCGCAAGCCUGAUGCAGCCAUGCCGCGUGUGUGAAGAACGCCUUCGGGUUGUAAAGCACUUUCAGCGGGGAGGAAGGCGUUAAGGUUAAUAACCUUGUCGAUUGACGUUACCCGCAGAAGAAGCACCGGCUAACUCCGUGCCAGCAGCCGCGGUAAUACGGAGGGUGCAAGCGUUAAUCGGAAUUACUGGGCGUAAAGCGCACGCAGGCGGUCUGUCAAGUCGGAUGUGAAAUCCCCGGGCUCAACCUGGGAACUGCAUUCGAAACUGGCAGGCUAGAGUCUUGUAGAGGGGGGUAGAAUUCCAGGUGUAGCGGUGAAAUGCGUAGAGAUCUGGAGGAAUACCGGUGGCGAAGGCGGCCCCCUGGACAAAGACUGACGCUCAGGUGCGAAAGCGUGGGGAGCAAACAGGAUUAGAUACCCUUGUAGUC
rnacentral:rRNA from 1 species